AAUGAACGUUGGCGGCGUGGAUUAGGCAUGCAAGUCGAGCGGUAGGGAACUGCUCACUUCAUGCUGUUUGGCUAACGGCUAAGAGCUAAUAGCUAACAGCUUCGAAGUGAGCAGUUCCUGAGAGCGGCGAAAGGGAGAGUAACGCGUAGUUACGUGCCCCGAGGACCGGAAUAGCCACGGGAAACUGUGGGUAAUGCCGGAUGUUGUCUUCGGACUAAAGGUGUGAUCCGCCUUGGGAGCGGACUGCGUUGUACUAGCUAGUUGGUAGGGUAAUGGCCUACCAAGGCGAUGAUGCAUAGCGGGUGUGAGAGCAUGACCCGUCUCACUGGGACUGAGACACUGCCCAGACACCUACGGGUGCUGCAGUCGAGAAUCUUCGGCAAUGGGCGAAAGCCUGACCGAGCGACGCCGUGUGUGGGAUGAAGGCCUUGGUU
rnacentral:rRNA from 1 species